AAAAAUGGCAACACUUAUGUGUCUUUAGGGAUAAACCACCCGUCCUUAGUUGGCAGCAUUUUUUUACGACAUUAGUCUUUUCCUCUUUGCUCGUUCACUUAUCACGCUUCCUCAUCAUCAGGAACAUCAUGUCUCCGGCAAAGAAAGCUCCAGCAUCUGCUGAACCCAAGAAAGCAACCCCAAGGCUGCUCCAGCUGCCGCACUGGCUGCUGCUGCUGCCAAG